AUGACACUACAUGGCUUUUGAGACUGGAUUAUGACUUCUGCCUGAUUCAUGUGCACACUUGCUCCUGAAGUUUGCGGUUGCCGCGUGAGAAAAUGUCAGUCGUCCACAGUUACACAACCAGGAUGGUAAUCCCAGGAUCUGAACCAAGCUGCUUCUGAUGAGGACACUCAAGCACAGAAAGCUUUCAUCACUUACUCAAGGUCACGCAACUAAGCAAGCGGUGUAGGGCGUCAACUGGCAGGGCAGAUUCUGCUAUUACCCCC